CAAAGGAAGCGAUUCCGGCGGGGGAUGGGCAUGCGGCGCAUUAGCUAGUCGGCGGGGUAACGGCCCACCGAGGCGACGAUGCGUAGGGGUUCUGAGAGGAAGGUCCCCCACACUGGUACUGAGACACGGACCAGACUCCUACGGGAGGCAGCAGUGAGGAAUAUUGGUCAAUGGGCGGGAGCCUGAACCAGCCAAGUCGCGUGAGGGAAGACGGUCCUAUGGAUUGUAAACCUCUUUUGCCGGGGAGCAACGGGGUCCUUGCGAGGGCCUAAUGAGAGUACCCGGAGAAAAAGCAUCGGCUAACUCCGUGCCAGCAGCCGCGGUAAUACGGAGGAUGCGAGCGUUAUCCGGAUUUAUUGGGUUUAAAGGGUGCGUAGGCGGGCUGUUAAGUCAGCGGUCAAAUGUCGGGGCUCAACCCCGGCCUGCCGUUGAAACUGGCGGCCUCGAGUGGGCGAGAAGUAUGCGGAAUGCGUGGUGUAGCGGUGAAAUGCAUAGAUAUCACGCAGAACUCCGAUUGCGAAGGCAGCAUACCGGCGCCCUACUGACGCUGAGGCACGAAAGCGUGGGUAUCGAACAGGAUUAGAUACCCUGGUAGUCCACGCAGUAAACGAUGAAUGCUAGCUGUCCGGUUCUACGGGACUGGGUGGC
rnacentral:rRNA from 1 species